GAUGAACGCUAGCGACAGGCUUAACACAUGCAAGUCGAGGGGCAGCGGGGCGCGGCAACGCGCCCGCCGGCGACCGGCGCACGGGUGAGUAACACGUAUGCAACCUGCCCGCCACAGGGGUAUAACCGCGGGAAACCGCGACUAAUCCCGCAUGACGCCGGGGGAGGGCAUCCUUCCCCGGCCAAAGGAGCGAUCCGGUGGCGGAUGGGCAUGCGGCGCAUUAGCUAGUCGGCGGGGUAACGGCCCACCGAGGCGACGAUGCGUAGGGGUUCUGAGAGGAAGGCCCCCCACAAUGGAACUGAGACACGGUCCAU
rnacentral:rRNA from 1 species